GGUGCUGAAAACAGAGCCAGCGAGAUCAAGAGAGGCAUUGAAAGAAACAGAGGAGACGGGAGAAGGUGCAAGGGUGAAGAUGCAGUUACCAGGAAAAGAUGAGCUUUAUUCUGAGGACGCUGAGAGGCAGCAAUACGACAUGGCUCUGAGUGCCCUGCACCUGAAGACCAAACAGACUGUGAGGCAGGUUGCAAGAGACACAGGAUCGACAAAGAGAAGUUGUUCGGAGUUCGCAGAGGAUGCAGGACCACUUGCAGAAGCUUCAGGCUGGAUGUUCUGAGGCAGAAGCUAUGGUACAAGAGCAAGGAAAGAAAACUGCAGAGCUUCAGAAGCUACACGCAGGCAUGACUAGAGUCAAAGAGGAACGGCAAAAGAAACUCCGCAUAAUCACACUAUCUCUGAAGGGUUCUCUGGAUCAAACAAAGAAUAAAAAUGAAGAAUUAGAAAGGGA
rnacentral:lncRNA from 1 species